rnacentral:sRNA from 1 species
UCACUCUGACAUUCAUCACUUCAGGAUUCUGUGUGUGGCAUCGUUCAUUGGGAAUGCAGUAAGGAUGGCUAUUACUGACCAGCCUACUUCAGUUCUACCUGGAUAAGUCUUUUCUUUUUCUUUUUUCUCAGUAAGUGCUAUAAAAGAACUCCGUGGGGUGAAGAAAUAUGAAGUGGUUUAUCCUAUAAGACUUCAUCCACUACAUAAAAGAGAGGUCAAAGAGCCAGAGCAACAGGAACAAUUUGAAACUGAAUUAAAGUAUAAAAUGACAGUUAAUGGAAAAAUUGCAGUGCUUUAUUUGAAAAAAAACAAGAACCUCCUUGCACCAGGCUACACAGAAAUAUAUUAUAAUUCCUCUGGAAAGGAGAUCACCACAAGCCCACAAAUUAUGGUAUAACAGAGUCUCUUCAAUUCUUUAAUCGGAGUUUUACCCACAGACCUAAAGGCAGUGUCCUUGCCAGGCAAAUAACAGAAGUGAAACUGCAUUUAUAACACUAGUGCUUUUUUCAGCAGUAGCCAUUA